AGCUUCCAACCUCAAUACUACUGCUUCUUCUUUCAGUUCCUCUUUUAUUUCAUUUUAUUAUUUUUAUUAGAAUUUUUGGGAUUGGUUUGAUUCUUGAUUUCUUCAAUCAAACAUCUCAGAAAUCAGUAGCUCAAAUCAAUUUCCAUAGAAGCUAUGCAAUCACUCAAUGAUUCAGGAUUAUCUCUGCCAAUUUCAGGAGGAAUUACCCUCCGCCGCC
rnacentral:lncRNA from 1 species